rnacentral:misc_RNA from 1 species
AUGAGAACUUGCCCUCCGGGGUAGAUCUCCCACCCUCUGUUUACAUACUUUGUUGCUUUGGCAGGCCCGUCUUCGGACCGCCGGCUUCGGCUGGCCCGUGCCUGCCAGAGGAUUCAAAACUCUUGUUUUUAGUGAUGUCUGAGUACUAUAUAAUAGUUAA